CGAUCCGCCUCGUCUCCCGGUCGCCGCUUCCGGUUUUCUGCACCCGGUUCGCCGCGACGACAUCCCCCACUACCUCCCCCACGUCCCCACGCCUAACCGCCCAGCUCCUGCGAAGCCCAAUACCCACCCCUCCCGGCGCCCAACCCCUCCGCGCCGUCGCUCUCCCGGCGCCGCUCCCCUCCACCGCCCAGCUCCCGUCCUGGCGCCGGACCCUCCCCGCGCUGUUGCUCUCCUCCCGGCCGCGCUCGCCUCCUCCGACGGUGCUCCCCCCCACCACGGCCACAUUUUUUUUGGCCAGCCCCCAGUCCCUCCCAGCGCCGCACCAACCUCCCGAUCCGGCAGCGGCGGAUGAGGGGGCGCACUGCGCCCAGCGACUGCGGCCCGCACGUCGCCCAUCGUCUUCUCCACCGCCGCAGAUUGAUGCCGAAAUCCACCCGCCGCAGAUCCGGCCGGGGCCGCUGCCACCCACGCCGCGCCUCCUUCCGGCUGCCGGAGCUUCACGCGUCGCCGAGUCACGCAGCAGCAGGUCAGGGCGCGACCUUACUGGCGAUAGGCAGCCCCACGAAAUCCGACGGCGGCCACACCCUCACGUCGAGACGGCGGCGCCAGCGCGUCGAGACGGCCCGGCAACCUUCCACGACAGCAGACGGCGGCCGCGGCCUGCGCGUAUCCCACGCCGCGCGGCCUUCCUGGCGAUAGCCGGCCCGAGACGGUGGCGCCAAGCCCACGAUCCUGCGAAGCGAACCCCGGCCAGGCGCCCAGGCCAGGUCAUGGACUCGGCUCUCUCUCUCUCUCUCUGUCUCUGUAGAGCGGAGCGGAGAUCGGCUCAGCACGUUGGAGUGGAGAAACGCAGCAGCACCUCAUCAUCCUGCUCAUCGUCGUCGAGCGUUGCUGCGUAUUGAUUACAAAUAGCUUUUUUUAGUCACGUGGUGUGUUGCUUUGGGUGCCUACCUGCUGCUUGUUUGAUGAAAUGUCCAGGCAAGCUAUGUUACGCCGAAAUAGAAGUUGCUAUUGCUUUUAAUUGAUGGACUUUGAUUGUUCUUGUUCCACUGUUAGGGUUCUGCAUAGGAUGCAAAAAUUGUGCCAAUUGGUUUUAGUUCCUUUUGCAUCGUUGACAGCUAGUAUUGUUUCUCCUUCGAGCAUAAAGCAUGGAUAUUUUUGUGUAGGGAAUAUGAGGUGUGAUCCCCUAUUAGUUGUGUGGCAUACAUGAGAUUUUCAUUAAGGCUUAGACCAAUUUUGACACAUGGUGUCUGUGCAUGGUGGCAGCGGCAUACAGCAGCGAGCGGCGGUGCCAAGGUGAGGUGGCCGCACUGAGGGGUUCUAAUGGUACCCAGGUAGGGGCUUUUGCAAUUUCCCUAAGACUGGCAGGAUGGUUCUCAUAAACUAAUUUGAACCAGCCCACAAGUAGAUUAUCUGGCUGGAUUUGGAGGCUGUGGCCCUUUCCGCGCCCCCGGCGACGCUUCUACCUGGCAUCCCGUCACUACUUUUUUCUCUACUUUUUUUUUGGCAAGAAGUUGGAUAGACUAAAAAACAUUUACUCUACUUUUUUUCUUUGGCAAGAACAUGAACUGAAAUUUUGCUAGGAUAUGUGUGAAUGGCUGAACGCUAUCAGAAAAGGAAUAUUGAAGUACUCUUUCUGACAUAGUAUCAACUCUUGGAUUAGUAUGAUGUUGGGCAUUUAUAUGCACGCCAAGAACAUCUGACAUAUCAUCACACCCCACAUGAACAAUUUAUGUUGCCACCAGAUUCCUACGACCUGACGCUGGCCUCGAGGUCCUCCACCUGCAGGUUUCGGCAGCAGCUCAUCCCUAAGUUUCCUCUGCUUAUACUGAACUUCAUGCUUUUUUCUUUUUGCAGACUUGUGCUUUUGAUGAUAAUGCUAGAUUAGCCAUAUGUUUUUGAUGGAUUAAUGUUCCAGUGCACAAUUCAUAUAAAAGUUGUAUGCAUAGGAGCCGGAUUGGAUGAUGGUGAUAGAUCACUGUAGAUGUGUGGUGGAUUAGGACUUUAGUGUUGCAGUGUUCAGUCUGUUCUCUUCGCAUUUUGUUCUGCUGUCAUGGAAUUUAAUUUCAAAUGUGGCACAAUGGCAUCAAACAUAUACUAUACUAGGGCCAUGAAUAGUUUAGCAAAUAAUGAUUGUUCACCGCAUAGGUAAUUCAGUAGCUAAUGCUAGAGUAAGGGCCAUGAACAGUUUAGCAAAUAAAAAUUGUUCACCACAUAGGUAAUUCAGUACCUAAUGCUAGAGUAGAUAUAUUGUGCAGCAGGUCAGCUGGAAUGAUUGCUUGCUGGAGUUGCUUGAUAGCAGGAGAUCGCACGUUCUGGUGCCUGGAGGAGUUGAUUUUUUGCUGUAAUGUUUUUUUUAGUUUAAUCUGCAGCUAGUACCAUUGAAUACUAGAUCAUAUGGCUUAUUUUGUACUUCUAUUAAGGACACUACAUUUUUUAACAUUAGGUGGCUUAUCACCCCACUCAAUCUUUGCAUACGAAGUAUCUUUGAGCUGAACUCUAGUCAUCUGCUCCAUUACACAUGGGAAUAUUUGCGACAGGUUUUUUAUGAUUCACUCAAUAUACAAGGUAGCUAGAUUUUUGCAUCUAUGCAUGUCAUUACUUGUGAGGAAGUAACAAAUUCCAAGAGUUCAGUUUUUUUUCACAUGUGACAUUAUCUGCGAAAAUGUUCUCUUGUUAUAUUGUUCCUAUUGCAGGCGGCAAUGACUAAGAUGAGGUCGCAAGGAAACUGCAAGAGUGGAUACACAAGCAUAGAUUGCAGAGCGAGCUCAGCAUGAUAUGUCUCUGACAACGAUGAUACUGUAUCAUUUAGGUGGACACAUUCAACAUUUUGUUUUCCUGAAACUUCAGUCUGCAAAUGGCAACGUGUACGGGUCAGAAGCUAGCUGAGUUGAAAUGAUUGAAGGUUGUUUUCCUGAAACUCAGCUAGGAGGCUGUUCGUAGACUGAAGUUUCAGUCUACAAAUGGCUACGUGUACGGCGAAAAUAAUUGUUUCCUGAUUUAUGAUGAGGUCAUACUUUUAUUGUU